AGAGACCCAUCUCACUACUUACCCUUCCUCUCUUUCAUCUUUCACCCUCUGCCGCCGCCGUAAAUCGCCUACGUCGGCGGUCCACCACCAAACCACCCCAAAAUUAUACCACAUAAUCCCCACAACUUUCUAAAUCCUAACCCCUCAUCAAUUUCCCCAGAAAACCACCCAAACCUCACAAAUUUCAGAUCUUAGAAACGGCCAGCAGCCCUAGGUUCUUUCUUUGGAUUUUUCAAGAUCUCCAAGAUUUGACUCGACCCGAAAUUUGCAUUGUUUGAUUGUUCUCAAUAAGAACAAUCGAAUGAUGUUAAUUUCGACUCGUUUCGAAAAUAUCGGAGUUGGUCGAUUACCAAUUUUUCUCCUGACCAGCAUCUAUUUGGCCUCAAUUGGUAUGUAGUUGAGUUCUGGAUCUAAUCAACUUGUUAUUUCGCUUUUGUUUCGAUCUAUCUGUUAGAAGAUGUUUAGAGUUGACAUACACUCCAUUUAUGUAAUGAUUUAAGUUAUGACAAACUCUAAAGCUGAGGGAUGGAUUUGAAGUCACUGAAAAGGGAAGUUUAAGUUGUGGGUUUAGUCGUAUCUUAUUCUGGGAUGGCUAUUAUUGUAAACGACUUCUGUGUAUAUUGGAAAACGUUCAUAUUGUCGAGGUUUGUUAUUAAAGUGGCCAUAUUAGUUAUCUGCUUAGCUAAAAUGUAUUCUCUGUUUAAUUGUGUGAUUAUCAAGUGCUUAGUUCUGCAUA